UUAAAUUUAUAGACAAAAUUUGCAAACUAAUUAAUGUGUUACUAAUAAAAAUGAACACGUUCAUAAACGUUUAAGUAAUAACCUAAUCAUCAACUUCCAUGUUAUUUAGUUUACAAAAUUUUAUCUACAAAUUUAUUCUCCUUAACAUUACUAUUAUAUUUUAAAAGAAAAUGAACCAUGACAUAAAAAAUAAGGCACAACUUAACUCAAUAAAUGUGCCAAACUUGCAACAUUAUAUUCACUUUUUUAUGUGUCCACCUGUCAAGAUGAUGGUUACACAAUCCGUGUUGAAGAUUUAAGAUAAGAUUAUACAUGAAAUAUACAACUGCUCUUUCAUUCUUUCUUCCUUGAAGAUGUGCUCCUUCCUAUGUGCUAAUUAUAUUGAAACGCAUUAUUUAAUCGUGGAACGCUAUGAUUGCAUUAUAAUAUCUGACUUGAUUUAAAAACAGGCAAAUUGUAGAAACAUAUUACGCACAAUUGAGUCGUGUAGCCAAGGACAAAAGUUCCCUUUAACUUGCCCAAUAUACAUUUGUUUUCUAAUACAACGAUACUAAAGAUAGGAGGUCGUGCCAACUCAAAUAAUGGCACUUUUGAACUUGUAAUUAGUAAACCACGAUAAGUGGCCAAAUAAAAAAAUAUGGUAGACUUUCAAGUUACGUAUGCUCAAUGGUCUUUGGGUCGGGGAACGAAACUGGUAAAAACAUCGGUGAUUAUCUAGUUGAAAGCUUUGGAAAAACAUGUGUUAUUGUAGCUAGGUAGGGGUACCGAUUACUAUACCAAAUAUUUGGUACAAUAAAAUCUAUUACCAUUACCGUACCAAAUAUCGGUAUACCAAAUAGUUUGGUUGGUAUGGUAUGCCAAUGGUAAUUGCCACUUUGUUUUAGGCUACUUAGUUUGGCCAAAAUCUAAUAUUUUUCUAACCUAAUUCAAGGCCCAGAAAAUAUACACAGUUAAUGUACUGGUCUUUACAAGUCAAUGAAAACCAUGAAAACAUAAACAUGGUAAUGAAGCUUUAUAGUUUCAAGUGAGAUUAACACAAAACUAACAAAACUGCUGCUGCUGAUCAAUGGACAGCAGCAGGCAGCAGUAUCUUCAACCUCGAGUUUCGACAUAUAUCCAGUUAUAUAAAUGUAAACAAAAGCUACAAAGCUAGCCUAGUACUACUCACUAAAUAAUUCAACUGCACAUCAUCAUCAAUGUUUCUUUUGCUGCACUUUGCAAAAAAUAAGCAUAAUAAUACUGCUGUGGAACCAAAAAUAAUCAAAAGGCGACACGUGGAUUUUUGGGUGAAGAUGACAAAUUUACCCUUGAGGCAUACCGGGUUUCCUACACGCGAGCAGUGGAGAAUCAUCCAUCAACCAAAUCAGGAGUACCCAAAAUAGGUAACAAGUUCAAAUUUGUCUCAUCCAUCCUCAUUCCAUAACCUCCCAAAACCUCCCAAAACAUUUCUUUUAUUACGAUAAUUAACCAAUUAAUAUAUUUAUACCUAAUUAAUAUAUUAAUUGUUGCUAAAUUGAAUCACCAAGGCCACACUCCCCUAUAAAAGCCCUAUUCUCUUCUCCAAAAGACACCUCUUAUUCACUUGCUAAAAUUCUCCAAAAUUCUCAAACACCUUCUCUCUAAAUUCUAAUUUUGGCAUCGGAGGUUCUUCGGCCAAAGUCCCCCCUCAUUCAUCGUGGACGCGUGAGGCUCUUGGCCUUGACCUAAGGUGUAAAUUGUUUUGUAGGUGCAAUCUUGUCCAAGAUCAAGAGGAAGAAAUUUGCAUCCACAACUGCUACAUAACUACUUCUGCUACUUACCAUGACAUGUGAGAUCCACAGUAUCACUAUAACACGUGUUCCCAAUCCAUAGAAGUUACAAGCCAAAUCAAAU
rnacentral:lncRNA from 1 species